AGGUUAUUCGAUUAGAGGUGAAAUCGCAGUUCUUACACAACUGAGCCAUAGGUUCAAUUCCUAUAUGACCUA
rnacentral:tRNA from 2 species